UCCAGCAGCCAUAUCACCCUGCAACUCACAACUCACAACUGGCAACCCACUGAAGCUAAGCAGGUGUGAGCCUGGUCAGUACCUGGAUGGGAGACCUCCUGGGAAAAACUAAGGUUGCUGCUGGAA
ensembl:rRNA 5S_rRNA 5S ribosomal RNA